CGCAGUCAUGUUUGGACUGAGAACCAAGUGUCAAAUAACAACAAAAUUCUCACCUUUUUUUUUUUAUGUUUGGGAGAGAGGCGAGGUACCCGUCUGAAAUUCCAGAGGAAUACAGAGUGAGUUGCACUUUGUACUUUGAGUAAACAGACACACUUAGAAAUAGUCAUAAUGUAAUAAUAAUGUCACAAUAGCCGUAAUGUAACAUUAGAAUCAUAUAUGUAUUAGUGUUUUAAUUUAAUUGUGAUAUAAUUUCAAAGGUGGACCGUAGUGUUGAAGAGAACCUGUCUGUUGAGGAGCUUACAGAGGACGUUCUCAAAUUAGAUAGUGCUCUCCAGAGGGCUAUUACCAACAUCGCGGCCAAACCUCACAAAAAAAAGGAACAAAACCUGCUACGGACUUUCAGGUGGGAAUGAAGGUUAUGAGGCAGAAUGUGCGAAGCCAACAGAGGAAAGGUGGUAAAUUGGACCCCACUUACCUUGGGCCCUAUACAAUUUUGGCCAUUGUCACUGCCAUGCUUUAUUCCACCAUCAAAAGUGGUUGGAACCAUUAAGAAACUGUUCAUACUUUAGUUCUAUCAAAACUGUAAUGACUUUGAUGCAGUCGACAUUUUGAAUGUUUACUUUAUCAGAGGACUGUAAAGGAUUGGUUGGACCAAUUUAUACUGCAUAUGUAGAAAAUAUGUAUUUUUAUUUUAGAUGAUUUAUGAGACACAUGAGGCUCAGUCCUUCCAGAUGGGCAUGUGACACGAUGACUCACCCAAUUCAACAGGAUGUAACAUCCUGUGGGGCCUAUGCAUUGAAGUUUGCAGAGUGCAUCAUGGGUGGAUUCCCUUUGGAGUUUGACAAUUCCACAUCUGGUGUAAACACCAUAGGAGAGCACAUUGCUGUCUCUCUUCUUGAGAAUACAGAUGACUUGAGUGACCUGUGCCAUUUCUGUGGGGAGCAGCAAGGGGA